rnacentral:rRNA from 1 species
UACGUAGGGUGCGAGCGUUGUCCGGAAUUAUUGGGCGUAAAGGGCUCGUAGGCGGUCUGUUGCGUCGGGAGUGAAAACUCAGGGCUUAACCCUGAGCCUGCUUCCGAUACGGGCAGACUAGAGGUAUGCAGGGGAGAACGGAACUCCUGGUGUAGCGGUGAAAUGCGCAGAUAUCAGGAGGAACACCGGUGGCGAAGGCGGUUCUCUGGGCAUUACCUGACGCUGAGGAGCGAAAGUGUGGGGAGCGAACAGG